rnacentral:tRNA from 1 species
UCUCAGGUGGCUCAGUGGUAGAGAAUCUGCCUCCAACACAGGAGACUCGGGUUUAAUCCCUGAGUUGGGAA